rnacentral:tRNA from 1 species
GCGCCUGUAGCUCAGCAGGAUAGAGCAUCUGCCUUCUAAGCNNAUAGAGCAACGGCCUUCUAAGCCGUAGGUUCCGUGUUCGAGUCACGGCAGGCGCA